rnacentral:misc_RNA from 1 species
GUGUCCCUCUUGCUGGUGAGAAUUAAAGAAUUUCCAAACCCUGAAGUAAGUUUUGUUGCAGUGUAGUUUGAAAUUGUAAAUAGAAACAAUUUUUAAUUAUUAUGUUGAGAUUUUUUUAACUUUUUACAUCAAUCUAUGUUUUUAUCUUUUUUUUCCUUUUUGUUAGUUUUGUAAUAGUUGUAGCUGGGUUGUUUUAAAUAUUUCUAAAGCAGUGCUUUGCAAUUGAGCUUUUAACUGGGUUAUAUAUAGAAUGACUCUUCUAGACAAAUUUCCUUUUGCUCAUUAGGAGUUAACAGUGUGUUCAACCUAUAGAUAAAUGAUUUGUCCUUGUCACAUGUGGGCAUUGUUAUUUUUUGGUGCUUUUCAUGUAAAACUGAUGUUUGCAUUUUAACUGAACAGGUCUGUCCCAUUCCUGUUUUUACUUUGUUUUGUUUUUUAUUAGCAAAUGUUUGAUUAGUCGUAAGUCCUACCUCAGGUAAAUGAUAUACAUGUACAAGUACAUACUGCUUAUGGCAUAGAUUUCUGUUUGAUUUUCUAAGUUUUUGCUGUCUUCUCUCACACUCUUUUUGUCGAAUAAAUGCAAUGCAAUAU